rnacentral:miRNA from 1 species
UUGUAGGGCUCCACCACCGUGUCUGACACCUUGGGCGAGGGCACCACGCUGAAGGUGUUCAUGAUGCGGUCGGGGUACUCCUCGCGG